CUUUUCUUGUAUUAUUUAUGAAGUAUAACCUGCCCACUGUUGGACAAUGAAGGGCUGCGGUAUUUUGACCGUACAAAGGUAGCAUAAUCAUUAGUCUUUUAAUUGGAGGCUGGAAUGAAGGGUUGGACGAGACACAUUCUGUAUUAUAAUUAUUAAUUUUGAAUUUAAUUAUUAAGUUAUAAAGCUUAAAUUUUUUUAUGGGACGAGAAGACCCUAUAGAACUUUAUAUUAAUUAAUAUAUUGUUGGUGAUAUGACGAUUUAUAUAUUAUUUAAUAUUUUAUUGGGGUGAUAGGGAGAUAAGAUUAACUCUCUUUGUUGUUGAAUAUUUAUUUAUAAUUAUUUUGAUCCUUUUUUAGUGAGAUGAAAGAAUAAGUUACCUUAGGGAUAACAGCGUAAUCCUUUUUGAGAGUUCAUAUCGAUAAGGGGGUUUGCGA
rnacentral:rRNA from 1 species